rnacentral:rRNA from 1 species
UACGUAGGUGGCGAGCGUUGUCCGGAUUUACUGGGCGUAAAGGGAGCGUAGGCGGACUUUUAAGUGAGAUGUGAAAUACUCGGGCUCAACUUGAGUGCUGCAUUUCAAACUGGAAGUCUAGAGUGCAGGAGAGGAGAAUGGAAUUCCUAGUGUAGCGGUGAAAUGCGUAGAGAUUAAGAAGAACACCAGUGGCGAAGGCGAUUCUCUGGACUGUAACUGACGCUGAGGCUCGAAAGCGUGGGGAGCAAACAGG